UACAGAGGGGGCAAGCGUUGUUCGGAUUUACUGGGCGUAAAGGGCGCGUAGGCGGCCUGUUAAGUCGGACGUGAAAUCCCUCGGCUCAACCGGGGAACUGCGUCCGAUACUGGCGGGCUUGAAUUCGGGAGAGGGAUGUGGAAUUCCAGGUGUAGCGGUGAAAUGCGUAGAUAUCUGGAGGAACACCGGUGGCGAAGGCGGCAUCCUGGACCGACAUUGACGCUGAGGCGCGAAAGCCAGGGGAGCAAACGGG
rnacentral:rRNA from 1 species